CCCUUAGAUGUCCGGGGCUGCACGCGCGCUACACUGAAGGAAUCAGCGUGCUAAAACCAUUGUCGAAAGGCAUUGGUAAACCCAUUAAAAUCCUACGUGAUUGGGAUCGGGAAUUGCAAUUAUUUCCCUUGAACGAGGAAUUCCCAGUAAGUGUGGGUCAUAAGCUCGCGUUGAUUACGUCCCUGCCCUUUGUACACACCGCCCGUCGCUGCCCGGGACUGAGCCGUUUCGAGAAAAGCGUGGACUGCUGCUGUCGGGGCUUUCGGGCCUUGGCUUCGGUGGAAACCGCUUUAAUCGCAGUGGCUUGAACCGGGCAAAAGUCGUAACA
rnacentral:rRNA from 1 species